ACGAGCAUGCGAGUGUGAGCGAAUCUCAAAAAUAACGUCUCAGUUCGGAUUGUAGUCUGCAACUCGACUACAUGAGGCUGGAAUCGCUAGUAAUCGCGGAUCAGAAUGCCGCGGUGAAUACGUUCCCGGGUCUUGUACACACCGCCCGUCACACCAUGGGAGUCAGUAACGCCCGAAGCCGGUGACCCAACCUAAACAGGAGGGAGCCGUCGAAGGCGGGACGGAUGACUGGGGUGAAGUCGUAACAAGGUAUC
rnacentral:rRNA from 1 species